AGCGAACGCUGGCGGCAGGCCUAACACAUGCAAGUCGAACGAUCCUUCGGGAUAGUGGCGGACGGGUGAGUAACACGUGGGGACGUGCCCUUUGGUUCGGAACAACUCAGGGAAACUUGAGCUAAUACCGAACGUGCCCUUCGGGGGAAAGAUUUAUCGCCAUUGGAGCGGCCCGCGUCUGAUUAGCUAGUUGGUGAGGUAACGGCUCACCAAGGCGACGAUCAGUAGCUGGUCUGAGAGGAUGAUCAGCCACACUGGGACUGAGACACGGCCCAGACUCCUACGGGAGGCAGCAGUGGGGAAUCUUGCGCAAUGGGCGAAAGCCUGACGCAGCCAUGCCGCGUGAAUGAUGAAGGUCUUAGGAUUGUAAAAUUCUUUCACCGGGGACGAUAAUGACGGUACCCGGAGAAGAAGCUCCGGCUAACUUCGUGCCAGCCGCCGCUGUAAUAC
rnacentral:rRNA from 1 species